rnacentral:rRNA from 1 species
AACGCGAAGAACCUUACCAGGUCUUGACAUCCCAUUGACCAGCAGAGUAACGUCUGCCUUCCUUCGGGACAAUGGAGACAGGUGGUGCAUGGUUGUCGUCAGCUCGUGUCGUGAGAUGUUGGGUUAAGUCCCGCAACGAGCGCAACCCUUAUCCUUAGUAGCCAGCGGUCCGGCCGGGCACUCUAGGGAGACUGCCGGGGAUAACCCGGAGGAAGGCGGGGAUGACGUCAAAUCAUCAUGCCCCUUAUGAUCUGGGCUACACACGUGCUACAAUAGCGUAAACAAAGGGAAGCGAAGUGGCGACACGGAGCAAAUCCCAAAAAUAACGUCUCAGUUCGGAUUGUAGUCUGCAACCCGACUACAUGAAGCCGGAAUCGCUAGUAAUCGCGGAUCAGAAUGCCGCGGUGAAUACGUUCCCGGGUCUUGUACACACCG